GGCGAACGGGUGAGUAACACGUGGGUGAUCUGCCCUGCACUUCGGGAUAAGCAUGGGAAACUGGGUCUAAUACCGGAUAGGAGCCAUCUUUAGUGUGGUGGUUGGAAAGUUUUUUCGGUGCAGGAUGAGCUCGCGGCCUAUCAGCUUGUUGGUGGGGUAAUGGCCUACCAAGGCGGCGACGGGUAGCCGGCCUGAGAGGGUGUACGGCCACAUUGGGACUGAGAUACGGCCCAG
rnacentral:rRNA from 1 species